rnacentral:rRNA from 1 species
AUUGAACGCUGGCGGCAGGCCUAACACAUGCAAGUCGAGCGGAUGAAGGGAGCUUGCUCCUGGAUUCAGCGGCGGACGGGUGAGUAAUGCCUAGGAAUCUGCCUGGUAGUGGGGGAUAACGUCCGGAAACGGGCGCUAAUACCGCAUACGUCCUGAGGGAGAAAGUGGGGGAUCUUCGGACCUCACGCUAUCAGAUGAGCCUAGGUCGGAUUAGCUAGUUGGUGGGGUAAAGGCCUACCAAGGCGACGAUCCGUAACUGGUCUGAGAGGAUGAUCAGUCACACUGGAACUGAGACACGGUCCAGACUCCUACGGGAGGCAGCAGUGGGGAAUAUUGGACAAUGGGCGAAAGCCUGAUCCAGCCAUGCCGCGUGUGUGAAGAAGGUCUUCGGAUUGUAAAGCACUUUAAGUUGGGAGGAAGGGCAGUAAGUUAAUACCUUGCUGUUUUGACGUUACCAACAGAAUAAGCACCGGCUAACUUCGUGCCAGCAGCCGCGGUAAUACGAAGGGUGCAAGCGUUAAUCGGAAUUACUGGGCGUAAAGCGCGCGUAGGUGGUUCAGCAAGUUGGAUGUGAAAUCCCCGGGCUCAACCUGGGAACUGCAUCCAAAACUACUGAGCUAGAGUACGGUAGAGGGUGGUGGAAUUUCCUGUGUAGCGGUGAAAUGCGUAGAUAUAGGAAGGAACACCAGUGGCGAAGGCGACCACCUGGACUGAUACUGACACUGAGGUGCGAAAGCGUGGGGAGCAAACAGGAUUGGAUACCCUGGUAGUCCACGCCGUAAACGAUGUCGACUAGCCGUUGGGAUCCUUGAGAUCUUAGUGGCGCAGCUAACGCGAUAAGUCGACCGCCUGGGGAGUACGGCCGCAAGUUU